CCUACGGGGGGCAGCAGUGGGGAAUAUUGGACAAUGGGCGAAAGCCUGAUCCAGCCAUGCCGCGUGUGUGAAGAAGGCCUUCGGGUUGUAAAGCACUUUCAGUGGGGAAGAAAGCCUUGGGGCUAAUACCCUCGAGGAAGGACAUCACCCACAGAAGAAGCACCGGCUAACUCCGUGCCAGCAGCCGCGGUAAUACGGAGGGUGCGAGCGUUAAUCGGAAUUACUGGGCGUAAAGCGCGCGUAGGCGGUCUGAUAAGCCGGUUGUGAAAGCCCCGGGCUCAACCUGGGAACGGCAUCCGGAACUGUCAGGCUAGAGUGCAGGAGAGGAAGGUAGAAUUCCCGGAGUAGCGGUGAAAUGCGUAGAGAUCGGGAGGAAUACCAGUGGCGAAGGCGGCCUUCUGGACUGACACUGACGCUGAGGUGCGAAAGCGUGGGUAGCAAACAGGAUUAGAUACCCGAGUAGU
rnacentral:rRNA from 1 species